rnacentral:rRNA from 1 species
UUAAGUUAUUAAGGGCGCACGGUGGAUGCCUUGGCACUAGAAGCCGAUGAAGGACGUUACUAACGACGAUAUGCUUUGGGGAGCUGUAAGUAAGCUUUGAUCCAGAGAUUUCCGAAUGGGGAAACCCAGCAUGAGUUAUGUCAUGUUAUCGAUAUGUGAAUACAUAGCAUAUCAGAAGGCACACCCGGAGAACUGAAACAUCUUAGUACCCGGAGGAAGAGAAAGAAAAUUCGAUUCCCUUAGUAGCGGCGAGCGAAACGGGAAGAGCCCAAACCAACAAGCUUGCUUGUUGGGGUUGUAGGACACUCUAUACGGAGUUACAAAGGACGACAUUAGACGAAUCAUCUGGAAAGAUGAAUCAAAGAAGGUAAUAAUCCUGUAGUCGAAAAUGUUGUCUCUCUUGAGUGGAUCCUGAGUACGACGGAGCACGUGAAAUUCCGUCGGAAUCUGGGAGGACCAUCUCCUAAGGCUAAAUACUCUCUAGUGACCGAUAGUGAACCAGUACCGUGAGGGAAAGGUGAAAAGCACCCCGGAAGGGGAGUGAAAUAGAACCUGAAACCGUGUGCUUACAAGUAGUCAGAGCCCGUUAAUGGGUGAUGGCGUGCCUUUUGUAGAAUGAACCGGCGAGUUACGAUUUGAUGCAAGGUUAAGCAGUAAAUGUGGAGCCGUAGCGAAAGCGAGUCUGAAUAGGGCGUUUAGUAUUUGGUCGUAGACCCGAAACCAGGUGAUCUACCCUUGGUCAGGUUGAAGUUCAGGUAACACUGAAUGGAGGACCGAACCGACUUACGUUGAAAAGUGAGCGGAUGAACUGAGGGUAGCGGAGAAAUUCCAAUCGAACCUGGAGAUAGCUGGUUCUCUCCGAAAUAGCUUUAGGGCUAGCCUCAAGUGAUGAUUAUUGGAGGUAGAGCACUGUUUGGACGAGGGGCCCCUCUCGGGUUACCGAAUUCAGACAAACUCCGAAUGCCAAUUAAUUUAACUUGGGAGUCAGAACAUGGGUGAUAAGGUCCGUGUUCGAAAGGGAAACAGCCCAGACCACCAGCUAAGGUCCCAAAAUAUAUGUUAAGUGGAAAAGGAUGUGGCGUUGCCCAGACAACUAGGAUGUUGGCUUAGAAGCAGCCAUCAUUUAAAGAGUGCGUAAUAGCUCACUAGUCGAGUGACACUGCGCCGAAAAUGUACCGGGGCUAAACAUAUUACCGAAGCUGUGGAUUGUCCUUUGGACAAUGGUAGGAGAGCGUUCUAAGGGCGUUGAAGCAUGAUCGUAAGGACAUGUGGAGCGCUUAGAAGUGAGAAUGCCGGUGUGAGUAGCGAAAGACGGGUGAGAAUCCCGUCCACCGAUUGACUAAGGUUUCCAGAGGAAGGCUCGUCCGCUCUGGGUUAGUCGGGUCCUAAGCUGAGGCCGACAGGCGUAGGCGAUGGAUAACAGGUUGAUAUUCCUGUACCACCUAUAAUCGUUUUAAUCGAUGGGGGGACGCAGUAGGAUAGGCGAAGCGUGCGAUUGGAUUGCACGUCUAAGCAGUAAGGCUGAGUAUUAGGCAAAUCCGGUACUCAUUAAGGCUGAGCUGUGAUGGGGAGAAGACAUUGUGUCUUCGAGUCGUUGAUUUCACACUGCCGAGAAAAGCCUCUAGAUAGAAAAUAGGUGCCCGUACCGCAAACCGACACAGGUAGUCAAGAUGAGAAUUCUAAGGUGAGCGAGCGAACUCUCGUUAAGGAACUCGGCAAAAUGACCCCGUAACUUCGGGAGAAGGGGUGCUCUUUAGGGUUAACGCCCAGAAGAGCCGCAGUGAAUAGGCCCAAGCGACUGUUUAUCAAAAACACAGGUCUCUGCUAAACCGUAAGGUGAUGUAUAGGGGCUGACGCCUGCCCGGUGCUGGAAGGUUAAGAGGAGUGGUUAGCUUCUGCGAAGCUACGAAUCGAAGCCCCAGUAAACGGCGGCCGUAACUAUAACGGUCCUAAGGUAGCGAAAUUCCUUGUCGGGUAAGUUCCGACCCGCACGAAAGGCGUAACGAUUUGGGCACUGUCUCAACGAGAGACUCGGUGAAAUCAUAGUACCUGUGAAGAUGCAGGUUACCCGCGACAGGACGGAAAGACCCCGUGGAGCUUUACUGUAGCCUGAUAUUGAAAUUCGGCACAGCUUGUACAGGAUAGGUAGGAACCUUUGAAACGUGAGCGCUAGCUUACGUGGAGGCGCUGGUGGGAUACUACCCUAGCUGUGUUGGCUUUCUAACCCGCACCACUUAUCGUGGUGGGAGACAGUGUCAGGCGGGCAGUUUGACUGGGGCGGUCGCCUCCUAAAAGGUAACGGAGGCGCUCAAAGGUUCCCUCAGAAUGGUUGGAAAUCAUUCAUAGAGUGUAAAGGCAUAAGGGAGCUUGACUGCGAGACCUACAAGUCGAGCAGGGUCGAAAGACGGACUUAGUGAUCCGGUGGUUCCGCAUGGAAGGGCCAUCGCUCAACGGAUAAAAGCUACCCCGGGGAUAACAGGCUUAUCUCCCCCAAGAGUUCACAUCGACGGGGAGGUUUGGCACCUCGAUGUCGGCUCAUCGCAUCCUGGGGCUGUAGUCGGUCCCAAGGGUUGGGCUGUUCGCCCAUUAAAGCGGUACGCGAGCUGGGUUCAGAACGUCGUGAGACAGUUCGGUCCCUAUCCGUCGUGGGCGUAGGAAAUUUGAGAGGAGCUGUCCUUAGUACGAGAGGACCGGGAUGGACAUACCUCUGGUGUACCAGUUGUCGUGCCAACGGCAUAGCUGGGUAGCUAUGUGUGGACGGGAUAAGUGCUGAAAGCAUCUAAGCAUGAAGCCCCCCUCAAGAUGAGAUUUCCCAACUUCGGUUAUAAGAUCCCUCAAAGAUGAUGAGGUUAAUAGGUUCGAGGUGGAAGCAUGGUGACAUGUGGAGCUGACGAAUACUAAUCGAUCGAAGACUUAAUCAA